CGCACGAUGAAACGGAGAGCUUGAGAACGAGUUGUUCACGCCUUGGCGUUUUGGCCAAGUUUUGUUGAUCGUUCGAAUUUGCUCAAGUUUUGUUGUCUUCUGCAUGCGAGUUUCCUAUAAUGUUACGUUUUACCAGAGGAAGGGGGCGUAAGCCUGAUCCUAAAGACAAAAUUGCCCAAGAACUUUUGUCGUUCGCCAAGGUACGUGCCGAUUUUUGUGACCUUUUUGUACGCAGUUCGUUUCACUCGAUAAAAUUGUACUCGAAUUCCCUAGAAGGUAUAAAUAUUAUGUGUUGAGUUUAUCCUUUCAUUUUAGACAGUAGAACAUGGAUUUCCACACAAGCCGAGCGCUGUAGCGUACGAUAAGGAAAUUGGACUGCUCGCAAUUGGGACGUCUACUGGUUUUCUAAAAAUGUAUCCUUGGAUGUAAAAAUUUGAACCGUUUUAAAUUAAAAAUGCUGCACGCCGCGUGAUGCUGGUGUGUAUAUUAGUUAAACAACAAAGUGAAAAUGGGCAUUACUUUAAGGGUAUUUUGGUAGCAAAAUUAUAUCGGGAAGUCUCAAUGAGUUGGCUAUUUUUGCUCCGGCAAUUCGGUUGCCAAUAUUUCAUUGUAUUGUUUUCAAUUGCCUGUCGAAAUAUUGUCAAAAUGCCCGCUUAAUCUGUUAUUUGAUUUAUGUCUGGGGCCCAAAGUCUAACGUUUUCAAAGCGUUUAGCAAUUCCGGUGAUUUAGAAGGAAAGUUUAAGGCCUUAACAACAUAUAGUAUCUCCUAAAAAAAUGCAUUACUCAUUAACUUUUCUAAGUCACUUGAUAUUUGCAACUUUGGUGUAUUAUUUUGGCGGGCAUUCAAGAGAUAUUGCGACUAAAAUACAAUAUUGUAUUCAAUUUUUUUUUAAAUAAAAUGGUACCCCCAAGGUAGCAUUGUCCUCCCAAAUUCAUUAUGGGCCAAAAUUUGGUGCUAGUCAGUGUUUUGGG